UACACUCCUACGGGAGGCAGCAGUGGGGAAUAUUGCACAAUGGGCGCAAGCCUGAUGCAGCGACGCCGCGUGGGGGAUGAAGGCCUUCGGGUUGUAAACUCCUUUCGCUAGGGACGAAGCUUUUUUGUGACGGUACCUAGAUAAGAAGCACCGGCUAACUACGUGCCAGCAGCCGCGGUAAUACGUAGGGUGCGAGCGUUGUCCGGAAUUACUGGGCGUAAAGGGCUCGUAGGUGGUUUGUCGCGUCGUCUGUGAAAUUCUGGGGCUUAACUCCGGGCGUGCAGGCGAUACGGGCAUAACUUGAGUGCUGUAGGGGUAGCUGGAAUUCCUGGUGUAGCGGUGAAAUGCGCAGAUAUCAGGAGGAACACCGAUGGCGAAGGCAGGUUACUGGGCAGUUACUGACGCUGAGGAGCGAAAGCAUGGGUAGCGAACAGGAUUAGAAACCCUAGUAGUCCCAUGA
rnacentral:rRNA from 1 species